GGACAGUCAUCGCCGAGUCCCGAGGCGCGAGCCUGGGGAGCCGGGGACCCACCGAAGUCCCUGGGGUGAAUCGGGUGCCCUUCGCGAGCCACGCGAAACGGGGGGCAGCCGUAGGAGACCUUCCUGCUCCGAACCCGUCAGCUAACCCGGUAGGCGAGAAGGAAGGAAAG
rfam:Streptomyces scabiei 87.22 complete genome